AGUGACUUAUGGAUUGUGACAGGCCUUUCAUGGAAGUUGCCAUGGUUCUGCAUCCCUAAACCAAUGAGACACAAUGGCAAGUUUCUCUUCCUACAUCUAUUUCAACCACCAGCUUAACUCCCCUUCCUGAGUGCAGCUAAAGCUGUGGCCAUCAGGCAGGUGAAGCUUGGUGCCUCCUGUUCAACCAACAGGAAUGACUGAAGCAGGCUGGGGGUGGGACCAGCAGUAAGAAGCCCAGAGCAAUGACCAGAGCUCCCUUUCUCUGGAGAGCUGGGCUGGAGAAAAUCUAUGCACUGCUGAUCUCCUAAGGAGAGAGCUUCAAGGGUGAAAAGAUGGUGUCCCACAGGCCUGAGGCUGCACAGAUCUAGCUUUUGCCAUUGAGGACAGCAGGGACAGUAAAGCUUCCCAGAUCCCCUUUCAACCUGCCAGCUGGCAUGUCACCUACCAUAGAGGAAGCCAAUCCUAGACCUUGUACUACUUGAGAGAUUGCAAAAGUAUCCUGUUAGCUGGGUCUGGACCCCAAUGAUAAAUAGACUCAUGAGUGAGCUAAGGAAGGGAACUGGCCCAUCUAAAAGGAACCGGCCCAAGGAAAAGCAGGAAUCUAUGAAGGCAUUCAAUAACUUGGACCAAAAAGGAACAAGAAGGUAAAAUUGAAUACUUGGGUGAUGGUUACACUAAAAACCUAGAUUUCCC
rnacentral:lncRNA from 1 species